CCGGCUCCGGCAGGCUCACGCUACGGAAUCCGGGCGGCGGCGCACGUGACCCGGCGUUGCUAGGAAACGGGAGUGGGGCCUGCGGGGACGCGGCUGGAGCCUGCGCAUUUCUUCCUUCCUGCUUUCAAAGUUGCAAUGAGCGCAGAGCGGUGCGCCCGAGGGGGUUGAAGCGUUGAAAGUGUGUUACCCAGAUUUUAUCUGAGUUAAACACGGGCCGGCCGCUGUGGCUCACGUCUGUACUCCCAGAGCCUUGGGAGGUCGAGGCGGGAAGAUCGCUUGAGCCCGGGAGCUCGAGACCAGACGCGGCAACAUGGCGAGACGCACAUCUCUGCCUUUAAAAAUGUACAUAUAUAUAUAUAUAUAUGAACGUAUUAAUAAAUUAGGUGGGAGGAAGUGACCUCCUCCGCCCAAAUAAAAAUACUUAAAGGGCACUUGAAUCUGGAUCUCAGAAAAUGAAUAAUUUCUUAGUAUAAACGUCCUGUGCACCAUUUGGUUGGGACAAGUGGCGCGUUUACCCUAUUUUAAAAAAGUUUUAAGUUUUAGCCAACCGGGAUCAGCUUAGAUUGUGGGCGUCCAACCCCAGCCAACAGGGAAAGGACAGAGGAACAGAAGCUCCCUUCCUUUGUCCCGUGUGCUCUGGAGAUUGCAUCCCACGCAGGCAGCCCCCUUCCGUACAAGAGAGGCUGGCGGUUACCUUUCUUGGGGAGACGCGUCCGACUGCUUCAUUGUGGGGGCCUCAGGAGCGGAGGAUCGGGUCCCGCCCGAGGUGACGCGUAAACCCAGACUCUCAGCAACGCGGGUAGGAAGGACCCUUGAAGUUCCGCGGCGACCACGUCGGCUGAAACCAGCAGCCCAGGACAAGUGGACCAGCCAGCAAGACCCAGACCAUCCAAACCGGCUGAUCCUACGACAGGACCCAGAUGCCAGUGAAAGUGACCACAGCCCUGCUCUAGUCACCCCGGAAGCUGACCAGUCUACGCACGGCCGAAGCUUCGUCAAGGAAGUAAAUGUAGUUAGAAAUCUUAAGCCCAGUAAUUUUCCUUGUCAUCUUAAUUGUUUUACUAUUAACCUGUCGCUUUGCUCAACCCCCUCCUCUGGGCAAACAUCUCUUGUCCAUCCUAGGUACAAACAUGCUACUCUUCCCUUUGUUCUUGCUGCUCUCGCUAGAUCUAUGUCAGAAGGAGGGAUAUGCGGAGAGUUUAAUUUAACUAAUUGUUGCCUAAAAAUCGAUGACAAUGAGGAGGACGUCAUGAAUUAAUUGCGAGAAUGCGAGACUUAGCUCAUGUUCCAACACAAACCUGGAAACCGGAAUGGUCUCCAGGUUCCCCCCGCCCCCCCGUGGUUGGUUUUCAUCCCUCGGGGGAUUUAAAACCUUACUAGGAGUAGUUCUGGCCAUACUGGGAGUCCGCCUCGUACUCUUGUCUCUUCCCCUCCUUGUCAAGAAUAUCGACAAAGCCAGAGACGCUCGUGUGGACAGGCCGAGUACCACCGAGCUCAUCCCAUAACUACGUGUCCACCCCUGCCAGGAAAAGAGCUACUUCCCCCUGUAGAAGUAAAUAAAAAAUAGUGAUGCUUUCUAUUAAACCUUAUUUAUAAAAAGCAUCAAGGAGGGAAUAAAGCGGAAAUUGAAGAAACGGAAAAUACCUUUUUCGUAUAAAGCUGACUCGCCCCAAAGCCAGCAACAGGCAAAGCCCCCAGGCAAGGCCUUGAAAACACCAUUUAAAAAGCCAGAACCCCAAGGAAUGCCGCCCAGACGCCUCCCAGCACUGCACUCCCCCCGUGCAAAGAUAAGAACCAGACUCCUCCUUCCGUUUCCCGCUCCCCGUAAAAUACUCUGCCAGUUUUGUAAGCUCCUGUUCUUUCUCAAUGCGGCCGCAAGCUCACAAGCUCGGCUGAGGUUACGAAACCUGUCACUGUACGAUUAACUGCCUCUGUCCUGCGUCUGUAAAUUCACUUUCCCGCACUGCAAGUUUCACGCCGCUGCACGCUUCAAAGUCAAGCCCUUUGUUC
rnacentral:lncRNA from 1 species